CUAAAUAUCACGGGUGCUAGCUCUAGUCACGGCCUAAAAGUGUCCACACAUUGUAAUCAGCUGUAGCGCCAUUUUGUAGUUUGGUUAUCCAUUAUUUGUCAGCAAGAAAUAUUAAUAUAUAGAAAACAAGUCUACUACGAUAAUUUAGUUUUAAAGAUAAUGGGAGUGUGCUGUGUUCAUAAUUGUAAUAAAACAAAUAAAAUGGAAUCUAAUACACAUAUUUCUUAUCAUAAAUUUCCAUUAAAAUCCAAAGAAUUAUUGGAAAAAUGGUUACAUGCUAUAAAUAGAAAAAAUUUUAUGCCUAAUAAAUAUAGUAUUAUUUGUGGCAG